rnacentral:rRNA from 1 species
AUUGAACGCUGGCGGCAUGCUUUACACAUGCAAGUCGAACGGCAGCGGGGUAGUGCUUGCACUACUGCCGGCGAGUGGCGAACGGGUGAGUAAUAUAUCGGAACGUACCGAGUAAUGGGGGAUAACCAAUCGAAAGAUUGGCUAAUACCGCAUACGUCCUGAGGGAGAAAGCGGGGGAUCGCAAGACCUCGCGUUAUUCGAGCGGCCGAUAACUGAUUAGCUAGUUGGUGGGGUAAAGGCCUACCAAGGCGACGAUCAGUAGCGGGUCUGAGAGGACGACCCGCCACACUGGGACUGAGACACGGCCCAGACUCCUACGGGAGGCAGCAGUGGGGAAUUUUGGACAAUGGGGGCAACCCUGAUCCAGCCAUGCCGCGUGUAUGAAGAAGGCCUUCGGGUUGUAAAGUACUUUUGUUAGGGAAGAAAAGGGAAGUGCUAAUACCACUUUUUGCUGACGGUACCUAAAGAAUAAGCACCGGCUAACUACGUG